rnacentral:rRNA from 1 species
GACAGAGGGUGCAAACGUUGUUCGGAAUUACUGGGCGUAAAGCGCGUGUAGGCUGCUCCGAAAGUCAGGUGUGAAAGCCCCGAGCUUAACUUGGGAACUGCGCUCGAAACUACUUGGCUAGAGUGUGGCAGAGGGAGGUGGAAUUCCACGUGUAGCGGUGAAAUGCGUAGAGAUGUGGAGGAACACCGAUGGCGAAGGCAGCCUCCUGGGCCAACACUGACGCUCAGGCACGAAAGCGUGGGGAGCAAACAGG